GGAGUUAGCCGGUGCUUCUUCUGUGAGUGAUGUCCUUCCUGCCGGCUAUUAACCCGCAGGCCUUCUUCCUCACUGAAAGUGCUUUACAACCCGAAGGCCUUCUUCACACACGCGGCAUGGCUGGAUCAGGGUUGCCCCCAUUGUCCAAUAUUCCCCACUGCUGCCUCCCGUAGGAGUCUGGGCCGUGUCUCAGUCCCAGUGUGGCUGAUCAUCCUCUCAGACCAGCUACGGAUCGUCGCCUUGGUGAGCCGUUACCUCACCAACCAGCUAAUCCGACAUAGGCUCAUCCGAUAGCGCGAGGCCCGAAGGUCCCCCGNUUUCCCCCGUAGGGCGUAUGCGGUAUUAGCCUGGGUUUCCCCAGGUUAUCCCCCACUACCGGGCAGAUUCCUAUGCAUUACUCACCCGUCCGCCGCUCGCCACCAGGGAGCAAGCUCCCCGUGCUGCCGCUCGACUUGCNUGUGUAGCUGCGCAGCGUCAUCUGAGCCAGAAUACGAACCCGUACGA
rnacentral:rRNA from 1 species